GGAAGACUGCAGUCAAACACUGGAGCUGAAUGUCAACAUUAAAGAUGAAGAAGAGGUUUCUCAUGGACUAGAAUUAAGUCUGAGGCCGGUAACAUCAACAGUGAGGACAAACCCAGCCUGCCUCUCUCCUUCCACACUGAGUCCAAACCCACAGUCACUGGGUCCUGAUUGUUACAGUGGAGCCCAGUUUGCACUGCAGGAUCCAGAGAUGGCAUCAGUGAAGCUGGAAGACUGCAGUCAAACACUGGAGCUGAAUGUCAACAUUAAAGAUGAAGAAGAGGAGGAGAAGAUUGGAACAUGUGUUUCUCGUGGAGACCAUGUUGAGACAUUCUCUACAUCCAGAGAGCAACAGCAGGAAGAUCACAGACCUAAGAGGUCUCACCACUGCCCACAUUGUAAAGAGAUUUUCCCAAUUCUUUCAAAGCUAAAAAUACACCAAAAAAUUCACACAGUUGAGAAUCUGUAUUCCUGUACUGA